rnacentral:lncRNA from 1 species
GUUUGGACAUUUUUAUAGCAAUUCAAAAUAAUAACAAUUCCUUCAGCAUGGAAAUGACAAUAAUAUAUCUAUACAAACUGAUAAACUGAUUAUGUCACAACAUCAUUAAAGUGGAGAUCAAAGUCUUGUAGGAUUGUAUGUAUGUUUCAUCUUAUCACCUUGCACUUUUACUACUUGACUGUGGUUUUCUACAGCAGUUAGUUCUUAUUUCUGAC